GAUUAACGCUAGCGGCAGGCCUAAUACAUGCAAGUCGAACGGCAGCACGGAUAGCAAUAUCUGGUGGCGAGUGGCGCACGGGUGCGUAACACGUAUGCAAUCUACCCUUAACUGGGGGAUAGCCCCGAGAAAUCGGGAUUAAUACCCCAUAAUAUUACGAAGUGGCAUCAUUUUGUAAUUAAAGCUCCGGCGGUUUUGGAUGAGCAUGCGCGACAUUAGCUAGUUGGUGAGGUAACGGCUCACCAAGGCUUCGAUGUCUAGGGGUUCUGAGAGGAUUCACCCCCACACUGGUACUGAGACACGGACCAGACUCCUACGGGAGGCAGCAGUAAGGAAUAUUGGUCAAUGGGCGCAAGCCUGAACCAGCCAUGCCGCGUGAAGGAAGACGGCCCUACGGGUUGUAAACUUCUUUUGUACGGGAAAAAACCUCCGGUCGUGAACCGGAGCUGAUGGUACCGUAAGAAUAAGCAUCGGCUAACUCCGUGCCAGCCGCCGCCGUAACAC
rnacentral:rRNA from 1 species